rnacentral:misc_RNA from 1 species
GGAAGUAAAAGUCGUAACAUGGUCUCCGUUGGUGAACCAGCGGAGGGAUCAUUACCGAGUUUACAACUCCCAAACCCCAUGUGAACCUUACCAAACGUUGCUUCGGCGGGAUGCCCCGGGCGCGGGCCGCAAGGCCUCAGCCCCGGAACCAGGCGCCCGCCGGAGGCCCAAACCAAACUCUUGUUUUUGUAGAAUCUUCUGAGUGGCCUUUUAGGCAAAAAAUGAAUCAAAACUUUCAACAACGGAUCUCUUGGUUCUG